GAUCUUUUGAAGAUUUAGCAGCUCAAUCUUUUUCAACCUUCUAUAACAAUGCUCAAGUGUGAGUUAGUGAUUGACCUCCAUCACCUGACAAAAAAGUAAUAGCAUCACAAGAAAAGAUCGCGUUGAAGUUGGUUAUAAGCGAAUUUCGUCCUCUGAAUAGAUAGCUAAAUAAUCAUUUGGCAAAGGUAGUUCUUAAAUGUUCACUUCUUUUCCCUUCUAUCUUUGUCUACAUUCUUUGUUUCCGGGCAGGGGGUGAAGGACAUAAGAGAAGAUUUUUCCUAUAGGUAAGGAAGAGGCGAAAAAGGAGCAUUAGUCACUAAGCCCAUGGACGAAGACAAUGAUAUCAGUUCCAUUUUUGAUGUUGGGAAAGCACCAACUGCUCAUAGUGGAAUGUCCAGAUAUAUAUGCAGCUGCAGGGGCAACUCUUGCUUAGUCACCUCCCUUUGCCCCCUCAGCUAAACUCCCAU
rnacentral:lncRNA from 1 species